rnacentral:lncRNA from 1 species
AUGCGCCCGGAGGGUCUCAGCGGCACGUGCCCACACGGGCUGCGCACUGAAGAUGACUGCCGCGUGGGGUCCAGUGUGAGGCGGCGGAGGGGGAACUCCGCCAGCUCUCCAGCUCCUCACGCCCCGGGGCUGAGCCGGGGGUCCCUGGCUUGUUGGGCGGCGGCCGUCCGGCAGCCGUGGAGGCUCACGAGGGAGGAAACAGGGUCAAGAGAACGAUUCCAAAACUGCUGUAUCCUGGAGGGUGAGGAGGAAUGUCAUCAAAGGUUACUGCUAGAACAUUCCUUCAGACAUAUAUGAAGGCUAAACCAGAUGGACUCCAGGAAGUGUGCAACAGACUCUUGUAAACCUGAAUAAAUGUGAAUCUACUCUGGGGAUGCA